GCGGGUGUGUCCGAGUGGUUCAGGAAAAGGUCUGCAAAGCCUUUCACGUGGGUUCGAUUCCCACCGCUCGCU
rnacentral:tRNA from 1 species